GAAAGAUCGACCAUGCAGGUGAAUGUCUUGUUUCAGGUUUUCGGGAUUCUCCUUUGCAGUGCUUACCUAGUUGAAGGGGAUUCCUAUGCUGAUCGAGUAAAAAAUCUUUUCGAAAGACAUUUCAAAAACCCAAAUAAUACAUGCUGGAGCAAUGCUAACCAAACGGCAAGCGCUUACAAAGAGAACAUUAGAAUGGCAGUAGCACUGAUCAACGUGUACACACAAAGCUGUUUAGACUACGCCGAUUAUGUCAAAGGAUGGCACUUUUUUGCUAUGCUGAAUAAACAACUUAGAGACCAAACAAAAGUACAAAUUUGGCUGGACACAGAACAAUUGCUUAAUCAAGCGUUGGAAUUGGUAGGCAUCACAACGUGGGAUACCCUUUACAGGGCUUGUGAAUGUGAAGAUAUCAAACAAGGACACACGUUUACAGUUAACAGCUUCUGGAGCACCUCGUUACUUCCAAGCGUCGCUAAUGGCUUCCUCAAAACAAACAAUUUAUUCUUUCAGAUAUUACAGGCUCCAGGUGGUGCAAAAGUAUCGGAAUAUUCGAAGUAUAUUUCAGAAGAGGAGAUAUUACUUUAAUCAAAGCGUGAGUUUUAUGUGAAAGAAUAUGUUGAUGAUAAGGAGAACAUAAUUAACAAGACAUCUUUACUUAAGGGUGUAUCCGAAUUGGAUAAAAUAAAGGCGUUUGUAGUCGUGACAGGCGAAAUUCCAACAAGAGGUUCCAGGUCGGCUCCCAAGUCAGGCUUUUGCUAUUGCUCGGGUGGCACAACGUCAGCUCCGACUUCUGCUGCUCUAAAAUCGAUGUCUACGAGCUUCUUUAGUGCCUCGCUUUUUAUUGUGUUUAGACUUGUUUGGUAAAGAGAAACAGUGUCACUGUGUAAAAACAAAAUAUACCUUUUACGCUUAAUGUUAUUUCCAGCUAUAUAUAGAGACAUCCACAGCUUACUGUUUUAGAAAUGAUCAUUGUUAUUUUAUUUUUUUGAAACCGUUUCAAAGCUGCAUGUAUUUUAAUUGCUUAUUUGUAUGAUAUAUUUAUUACGACUUUAUAUUAAAUUUUCUUGGUGUU